rnacentral:rRNA from 1 species
UACGUAGGGUGCGAGCGUUAAUCGGAAUUACUGGGCGUAAAGCGUGCGCAGGCGGCUUUGCAAGACAGAUGUGAAAUCCCCGGGCUCAACCUGGGAACUGCAUUUGUGACUGCAAGGCUAGAGUACGGCAGAGGGGGAUGGCAUUCCGCGUGUAGGAGUGAAAUGCGUAGAUAUGCGGAGGAACACCAAUGGCGAAGGCAAUCCCCUGGGCCUGUACUGACGCUCAUGCACGAAAGCGUGGGGAGCAAACAGG